rnacentral:rRNA from 1 species
CUACGUGCCAGCAGCCGCGGUAAUACGGAAGGUCCAGGCGUUAUCCGGAUUUAUUGGGUUUAAAGGGAGCGUAGGCCGGAGAUUAAGUGUGUUGUGAAAUGUAGACGCUCAACGUCUGACUUGCAGCGCAUACUGGUUUCCUUGAGUACGCACAACGUUGGCGGAAUUCGUCGUGUAGCGGUGAAAUGCUUAGAUAUGACGAAGAACUCCGAUUGCGAAGGCAGCUGACGGGAGCGCAACUGACGCUUAAGCUCGAAGGUGCGGGUAUCAAACAGGAUUAGAUACCCUGGUAGUCCGCACAGUAAACGAUGGAUGCCCGCUGUUGGUACCUGGUAUCAGCGGCUAAGCGAAAGCAUUAAGCAUCCCACCUGGGGAGUACGCCGGCAACGGUGAAACUCAAAGGAAUUGACGGGGGCCCGCACAAGCGGAGGAACAUGUGGUUUAAUUCGAUGAUACGCGAGGAACCUUACCCGKGCUUGAAUUSCAGAGGAAGGA